rnacentral:misc_RNA from 1 species
GUGUGCCUCAGGUGCAAGGCCUACAGGGCUCCAGCCCUAGUGCCUCUACAGUUGGAAGGCAGGCGAUGUCUAUCAAGUGCACGCCUUCCUAAGUUCCACCUUUUGUGAGCACUUCAUCUAAAAAAGGACUACCAUCAAACUCAAAACUUUGUGAUCUAUCAGAAUUGGGUGUUGAUGUGCCAGAAAGUCAUCUGAAGUGCUGUAGACAGUGAUGGAAAGUUGC